rnacentral:rRNA from 1 species
GAUCUGGCUCAGGAUGAACGCUAGCUACAGGCUUAACACAUGCAAGUCGAGGGGCAGCAUUCCAGUUUGCUUGCAAACUGGAGAUGGCGACCGGCGCACGGGUGAGUAACACGUAUCCAACCUGCCGAUAACUCGGGGAUAGCCUUUCGAAAGAAAGAUUAAUACCCGAUGGCAUAAUAGAACCGCAUGGUUUGAUUAUUAAAGAAUUUCGGUUAUCGAUGGGGAUGCGUUCCAUUAGGCAG